CUCGAGUGGUGGGGACUAUUAUUUGGUCUAAAGCGUCCGUAGCUGGCUGUAUCCGUCCCCCGUUAAAUCCAGCGUCCUAAACGUUGGACUGCGGGUGAUACCAUACAGCUAGAGGGUGGGAUAGGUGAGCGGUAUUUCUGGGGUAGGGGCGAAAUCCUUUGAUCCCAGGAGGACCACCAGUGGCGAAGGCUGCUCACUAGAACACGCCUGACGGUCAGGGACGAAAGCUGGGGCAGCGAACCGGAUUAGAUACCCGGGUAGUCCCAGCUGUAAACGAUGCUAGCUAGGUGUUGGGUCGGCCACGCGCCGCCCCAGUGCCGCAGGGAAGCCGUUAAGCUAGCCACCUGGGGAGUACGGCCGCAAGGCUGAAACUUAAAGGAAUUGGCGGGGGAGCACCACCAGGCGUGAAGCCUGCGGUUUAAUUGGAGUCAACGCCGGAAAUCUUACCAGGAUCGACAGCAGAGUGAAGGCCAGAUUGAAGGUCUUGCUAGACGAGCUGAGAGGAGGUGCAUGGCCAUCGCCAGUUCGUGCCGUGAGGUGUCCUCUUAAGUGAGGUAACGAACGAGACCCCCACCCCAUGUUGCCAUCAGGAUCUAAAGGAUCGCUGGGCACUCUUGGGGGACCGCUGCCGACAAGGCUGAGGAAGGUGGGGGCCACGGUAGGUCAGUAUGCCCCGAAUAUCUUGGGCCACACGCGGGCUGCAAUGGUAGGGACAGAGAGCUGCAACAUCGAAAGAUGAAGCCAAUCCCUAAACCCUACCUCAGUUGGGAUCGAGGGCUGCAACCCGCCCUCGUGAACAUGGAAUGCCUAGUAACCGCGCGUCAUCAUCGCGCAGUGAAUACGUCCCUGCUCCUUGCACACACUGCCCGUCGAACCACCCGAAUGAGUUUCGGGUGAGGCGUGAUCGUAAGUUGGUCGCGUCRAACCUGGGGCUCGUAAGGGAGGUU
rnacentral:rRNA from 1 species